rnacentral:rRNA from 1 species
AGUGAACGCUGGCGGUAGGCCUAACACAUGCAAGUCGAACGGUAACAGGUCUUCGGAUGCUGACGAGUGGCGAACGGGUGAGUAAUACAUCGGAACGUGCCUAGUAGUGGGGGAUAACUACUCGAAAGAGUGGCUAAUACCGCAUGAGAUCUACGGAUGAAAGCAGGGGAUCGCAAGACCUUGUGCUACUAGAGCGGCCGAUGGCAGAUUAGGUAGUUGGUGGGAUAAAAGCUUACCAAGCCGACGAUCUGUAGCUGGUCUGAGAGGACGAUCAGCCACACUGGGACUGAGACACGGCCCAGACUCCUACGGGAGGCAGCAGUGGGGAAUUUUGGACAAUGGGCGAAAGCCUGAUCCAGCAAUGCCGCGUGCAGGAUGAAGGCCUUCGGGUUGUAAACUGCUUUUGUACGGAACGAAAAGCCCCGGGUUAAUACCCCGGGGUCAUGACGGUACCGUAAGAAUAAGCACCGGCUAACUACGUGCCAGCCGCCGCAGUAA